rnacentral:sRNA from 1 species
UAUUCUGCCCCAUGGGGAAGGAUGAGAAGCUUCGACUAAGGUUCGACUCGAGCGCCAGCGAGAGAACGUUGCCGCAGGCAACGGCCCGAAGGGCGAGGCGCUUUAGCGCCGAGUA